rnacentral:rRNA from 1 species
GUGAGGAAUUUUCCGCAAUGGGCGAAAGCCUGACGGAGCAAUGCCGCGUGAAGGAUGAAGGCCUAUGGGUUGUAAACUUCUUUUCUCAGAAAAGAAUUAUGACGGUAUCUGAGGAAUAAGCAUCGGCUAACUCUGUGCCAGCAGCCGCGGUAAGACAGAGGAUGCAAGCGUUAUCCGGAGUGAUUGGGCGUAAAGCGUCUGUAGGUUGUUUAAAAAGUAUUCUGUCAAAGAUUAGGGCUUAACCCUAGAUAGGCAGAAUAAACUUUUAAGCUAGAGUUUGGUAGAGGGAGGGGGAAUUCCCGGUGGAGCGGUGAAAUGCGGAGAUAUCGGGAGGAACACCAAAGGCGAAGGCACUCUGCUGGGCCAAGACUAACGCUGAGAGACGAAAGCGAGGGGAGCAAAUGGGAUUAGAUACCCGAGUAGUCC